rnacentral:rRNA from 1 species
CAGUAGCCGCGGUAAUACGAAAGGUCCAAGCGUUACUCGGAAUUACUGGGCGUAAAGCGCGCGUAGGCGGUUUUGUAUGUCGAUUGUGAAAGCCCCGGGCUCAACCUGGGAACUGCAGUCGAAACUGCAAGACUUGAAUGUUGGAGAGGUUGGGGGAAUACCUAGUGGAGAAGUGAAAUUCGUAGAGAUUAGGUGGAACACCAGAGGCGAAGGCGCCUGACUGGCCAAACAUUGACGCUAAGGCGCGAAAGCGUGGGUAGCAAACAGGAUUAGAUACCCGCGUAGUCCCUGUCUCUUAUAA